GUGCUCACUUCAGCAGCACAUAUACUAAGGUUGGAAUGGCAAAGAGAAGAUUAACAUGUGUGAGAAAGACAUAAAUAUCCAUGAAGCAUCCUAUAAUUUU
rnacentral:snRNA from 1 species